AAAACUUUCAACAACGGAUCUCUUGGUUCUGGCUUCGAUGAAGAACGCAGCGAAAUGCGAUAAGUAAUGCGAAUUGCUGAAUUCCGUGAGUCAUCGAAUCUUUGAACGCACAUUGCGCCCUCCGGUAUUCCGGAGGGCAUGCCUGUUCGAGCGUCAUU
rnacentral:rRNA from 1 species